AUGCACGCUGGCGGCGUGCCUAAUACCUGCAAGUCGAGCGAACGGACGAGAAGCUUGCUUUUCUGAUGUUAGCGGCGGACGGGUGAGUAACACGUGGAUAACCUACCUAUAAGACUGGGAUAACUUCGGGAAACCGGAGCUAAUACCGGAUAAUAUUUUGAACCGCAUGGUUCAAAAGUGAAAGACGGUCUUGCUGUCACUUAUAGAUGGAUCCGCGCUGCAUUAGCUAGUUGGUAAGGUAACGGCUUACCAGGGCAACGAUGCAUAGCCGACCUGAGAGGGUGAUCGGCCACACUGGAACUGAGACACGGUCCAGACUCCUACGGGAGGCAGCAGUAGGGAAUCUUCCGCAAUGGGCGAAAGCCUGACGGAGCAACGCCGCGUGAGUGAUGAAGGUCUUCGGAUCGUAAAACUCUGUUAUUAGGGAAGAACAUAUGUGUAAGUAACUGUGCACAUCUUGACGGUACCUAAUCAGAAAGCCACGGCUAACUACGUG
rnacentral:rRNA from 1 species